UGAACGGAAUAUGUUAGCUUGCUAAUAUAUUUAGUAGCAAAUGGGUGAGUAACACGUACCUAACCUACCUUUUGGACCGGGAUAACUAUUGGAAACAGCAGCUAAUACCGGAUAUAAUAAAAAAAUGCAUGUUUUUUUAUCAAAAGAAGCCUUUAAAGCUUCACCAAAAAAUGGGGGUGCGCAACAUUAGUUAGUUGGUAGGGUAAAGGCCCACCAAGACGAUGAUGUUUAGCGGGGCCAAGAGGCUGUACCGCCACACUGGGAUUGAGAUACGGCCCAGACUCCUACGGGAGGCAGCAGUAAGGAAUAUUCCACAAUGAGCGAAAGCUUGAUGGAGCGACACAGAGUGCAGGA
rnacentral:rRNA from 1 species